CCUGGGCAGCGGAGCGUUUAGAGUUCCGGCUGCUCCUUAGGGAUCUCUGCCUCCUCACCAGCAGGCUGGGAGCCGGCCCUUCUCGCUGUUUCUGGCGUCUGCCUCCAGCAAGUCCUCCCGUUUCUCUACCUCUUCCCUCAUUUCCCGUCUGCCCAGCUUUGUGUGAAACCAGACGACAAAGGGUGUUCGGAUUAAGAGCCAGAUGUUAGAGAAAUUUCUGGAAUGUUCCAGGUACACCUAUGUCCUCCAACACGAAAGUUAAAGCAUGUCCUUGAGACUUCUCAGACACCACUGCCACUCUCUUAGUUUAACUGGACGUGCGUAUUUUAUCCAGCUGGUGGCUACCAUAUUGGACAGCACAGAUGUGGAACAUUGCCAUCGUUGCGGAAAUUUCUACUGGACUGCUUUAGAAACUCAAUCAGCAGCAGAUGAGAAAACCGAGGCAGUUUGAAGGCUGCAAAGAAGUCAGACACGGGUCCCGCCACGAGAAUUUACACCAGGGCUGCAGGAAAGCAUCGCGUGAGGAUUGAGAACUUGGGCUCUGGAAAGACAGACCUGGGUAGCAUCUCAGCUCCACUGCUUCCUGGCCCUGUGACCUCAGGCAAGUCCCCUGCCUCUCUGAGCCAGUGUCCUCGUCUUCAAAGCAGAAUACUCCAUAGAGUUUUCGGGAGAAUUAAGUCAAGCAUUGCAGGAAAAACACCUUGACUUGUUCAUGGUCAGCUCUCAACUAUGGUACCUGUCAUGACUGUCAUUAUUAUUUGUAUUAAUAAUAGAUGAAGCUGGCCAGGACGCCUUCAAGAGAAGGAAUCAGAACUUCUGAUUUUGUGCUAAAGCUUCGUCCCAUGAUGUGGGCCAAUUAUCUUUGGUAAACAAAGGCAACUGGAGGAACGAGAGGAGGAUUUUGAGCUCCCCCUACAGGUAAGUGUGGGUAACAAACUAUGUGAAGAGACAAGAGAGGAAAUACAUCUGUAGGCGGGAAAAAGACUUGUUAGCUGGGGACAGAUUAAGAAGGACAUUGAAUGCCAGCCAGAGGAGUCAUUUUAAGACAGACAGACCAAGGCUCUGGUUGGAAGGAACUGCACAUGAAGAGAGCAAUUGAAACCUGACCUGGCUAGGUGUAAGGUUCUGGCAGUCAGAAUGGAAAAGAAAAAAUGAAAGAGAGAGAUGCUACGAAAGAGAGGACCUGGUGCCAGAAUGAACAUGGGGACUCUAAGACAGGAAUCAAAGGCUUGGGUUUCUAGCCUGAGAAAAUAGCAGGAAAAUUGAGUCUGCUCUUAGAAACAGGGAGAGCCAGUUUGGGGAAGAAGAAAAGGAUAAUGAGUUAGUUUUCGAACAAGCGGAAUUCGGAGUAAGGAAACCUGGAUUCUGGCUAUGGCUGUGCCAGAUGUUAGCAAUGCAUCCAUCACAUAACCCUUCUGGGCCCCAGUCACUUGAUCUUUUAAAAACUGAGGGCACUGCAUUAGACCAGAGUAGGCAAACUGGUGGCAGAUGUGGUUUGUUUGUUAGACAAAUGGUUUUACAUUUCAAUUAGCUACCCAUAUUUCACAAUUGGGAGAUUUCACACAAAGGCCCAGAUUUCUGCUUCCAGCAGUUGGCUAAAGCCAAGUGUCAGCUGUGUCCUUUAGACUGGACAUGGACAUGUUUCCCAGUUUUCCCAUAGCCUCCACCAUGCCCUAUUGUCUUCCUGACACUGGGGCCAAAUACCACUUGCCAUUUGUCGUCUAUACCCAGCCUGCUCCACACAUUCCAGUUACCUGCCCGGUCCCCUCUAGGAGUUGAGUUUGAGACUCCUGGAUUAGAUAUUCUCCAAAGUCGCUUUCAGUUCAGUUAGUCUGUGUUUUACCUCCGUAUUCAGCUGGAAAUACAAGUCCAGUGAGAAGUCAGAAUUAGGGGUAUAGAUUUGGGAGUAGAGGUGAUGGUUAAACCCUUGAGCUUCAUCACGGGUAUAAAUGUAGAAAAAGAAGAGUAAACAAUCAAGGGCAGGGGCCAGCCCUGUGGUGUAGUGGUCAAGUUUAGUACACUCUGUUUCAGUGGCCUGGGUUCACAGGUUUAGAUCCUGGGUGCAGACCUGUACCACUCGUCAGCCAUGCUGUGGUGGUGACCCACAUACAAAGUGGAGGAAGAUGGGCACAGAUGUUAGCUCAGGGCUAAUCUUCCUCAGCAAAAAAUAAAAAUAAAAGAAAGAAUCA
rnacentral:lncRNA from 1 species